UGUCAGUCAAUAUGUAUUAUAAAACCAUUGAAAAAAUAUAUAUACACUAAAUAAUUAAAAAAACUUUCCAAUAUUUUUUAUGACGUCAUCCCACAUAAUUUACGCUGAACGUAGACAUACAAAUAAACCGAUAAAAACAUGUACUUAGCUACCGAAAUGUUUUAUUAAACAUAUCAGAGUCAAAUUUCUCCUUAAAAAUAAAAGUAAUCAAAAUAUUUUGUGAUUCCCGAGGCUUUAUUUCCUUGGUGCUAAUAACAUUAAAUAACCGAUCAUUUUCAAAGCAAGGCACGUUCCUGUGGAAAUAUAUGGAAAUUAGAGAGGUUCUCGCCCACAUUGGAGCCUUCGGUAAUUCCGUGAUUUAUUAGUUCAGUAUAUCUUGUUUCAGAUACAACCAUGAAGAAAAGUUUAGUUUUAGUAACUAUAAACUAAGUUUGAAACAAGCUACGUUGAAAACAUCCAGUUUUCACUGUCAUUAUUAUUAUAUUACUAUG